AGUGCCUCCACUAUACAGACCAGAAGCUGCUGAACGUGUCUUGAAUCUAGGCCAUGUGCUGUGCAGGGAUUCCCAUUGUAUCUGUUCUAUCUAAGCCGGGAUUCCUGUGCAGAGGCCUGGCCCUGAAGACCCGCUCUCCUUUGCUCCCUACCAAGUACCUUCUGUGUGACGUCAACCCUCCAGAGGGCUUCAGCCUCCGUAGGGGCGUCUGUAAACACAUCGCCUUCCUCCUGAAGACCCUGCUGAAAAUGGAGGAGUCGGUGCUGGUGCUACCCCCUUGGGGCCGCCUCUACCAUUGGCAGAGCCUUGACAUCCACCAGGUCCGGAUUCCCUGGUCUGACUUUUUUGAUCUCUCAAGUCUCAACAGAAACAUCCCUGACACUGAGUAUGAACAGUUCAUUGCAGUUUUUCUCAGGAAAUAGAUCUGAAGUGUAUGAGUUCUGUGUUCCCUCCCCUCUGAAAACCCUGGCCUCCUGGUGAGAUGGAGCAGUGACAAGGAGGCCACUGCCACAGAGGCCUUGUCCCAGCAGGACUCGCUCCCUGGGCAGUAAGGGCCAUUCUUACCUGAAGGAAACCAUAAUGUGUGUGUAGCAUGGGACACGUGCUGGAGAAGGUACGUAACCUCUCAUUCAGUAUAAUUUGGUCCUGCUCAAGCUUCCCAUUUUACUUUUUGUAAGAGGUAAGAGUUGAAGAUUUUCUUUGAAUAAAGGUAUUUAGAGCUUAUCUUUAUUUUUAAUUGAAAU